UUGAAAGAAAAUAAACAUCAGUGAUAUACUCUAAGUACAACAUAAAAAGUACUUAACCCAUUAGAUCUUCCCUUUGAAGAAUGCAGAAAGGACACAAAACACCAUUCUUGUCUAUUCAAGAAGGUAAAAGUUUUGCAACAGGACACAGGAAUUUUUGCCAACAUAGCAAUCUGGAGGCUUUGAAUACAUUUGAAAGACAGAUCAUUCCCAGCAAAAAGGACAGGGUGUGAAAUGUUGGCCAAUCAACAAUCUGGAGACUUUGAAGUUUUUAUUUUCUAAGUAACCCACCAUACCUACCAUAAAUGGACAAAGAAGAUUAUAAUUAACCACCAUUAAAUCCAUGGACAUCAAAAAAUGCGGUAUUCUUUUAACUCAUCUUAUUUUUAGCUCUACUUGUCAGAGACCAGAAGAGCUUUUGCGAUAGUAAUGCGUCCGUCCGUCUGUCUGGCAGUCUAGCUGUCUCUCUGUCUGUCCGUCUGUAAACAAUUAUUCAAAACGCUACUCCUCCUACAGUUUUGGUCUGAUUUAAAUAUAACUUGGCACACAAUAAGACUA